CGGGGUGUGGCUCAGCUUGGUAGAGCGCUUGCUUCGGGAGCAAGAAGUCGCAAGUUCAAAUCUUGUCACUCCGACCA
rnacentral:tRNA from 1 species